AACGAACGCUGGCGGCAUGCCUAACACAUGCAAGUCGAACGAGACCUUCGGGUCUAGUGGCGCCCGGGUGCGUAACGCGUGGGAACCUGCCCUUAGGUUCGGAAUCACUCCCCGAAAGGGGUGCUAAUCCCGGAUAAUGUCUUCGGACCAAAGAUUUAUCGCCUUUGGAUGGGCCCGCGUUGGAUUAGCUAGUUGGUAGGGUAAAAGCCUACCAAGGCGACGAUCCAUAGCUGGUCUGAGAGGAUGAUCAGCCACACUGGGACUGAGACACGGCCCAGACUCCUGCGGGAGGGAGCAGUGGGGAAUAUAGGAAAACGGGGGGAAGGCUGAUGCAGCAAGGCCGCGUGAGUGAUGAAGGCCUUAGGGUUGUAAAGCUCUUUUACCCGGGAGGAUAAUGACAGUACCGGGAGAAUAAGCUCCGGCUAACUACGUG
rnacentral:rRNA from 1 species